rnacentral:rRNA from 1 species
AUGGAAGCCCCCGCCGCAAAAAAAGAAGCGGCUCUUCCCACGGCUCUGUCACCAUUGACUCUAUUUAUUAUUAUGGUAAAUCAUUGUAUGAAGAUGUCAAUCUUAGAUCUUAUUUUAGUUCGAUACGUCCACCUACGAAACUCGCCCUUAGCUUUCGUCUCGGUAGGUGUAUUAUUCUACAUUUUCCCAAAAGUACAUUCAUUAAUUUCUUUCUUCCCGGGCGAUCACCACGACUAA